UGCAAAUGAUGUUUUUCUCACGAUGGUCUUCCAAGCCCAUGUGGCAACACUGAUGCAGUUGU
ensembl:snoRNA